GCGUGGUAGGAGAGCGUUCUGUAAGCCUGUGAAGGUGUCUUGUAAAGGAUGCUGGAGGUAUCAGAAGUGCGAAUGCUGACAUGAGUAGCGAUAAAGGGGGUGAAAGGCCCCCUCGCCGUAAGCCCAAGGUUUCCUACGCAACGUUCAUCGGCGUAGGGUGAGUCGGCCCCUAAGGCGAGGCAGAGAUGCGUAGCUGAUGGGAAGCAGGUUAAUAUUCCUGCACCGUCGUAUGAUGCGAUGGGGGGACGGAUCGCGGAAGGUUGUCCGGGUGUUGGAAGUCCCGGUCCCUGCAUUGGAGAAGGCGCUCAGGCAAAUCCGGGCGCGGGAUUCAAGGAUGUGGGGCGAGCGGCCUAGUGCUGCGAAGCAAUUGGAAGUGGUUCCAAGAAAAGCCUCUAAGCUUCAGUCAUACGAGACCGUACCGCAAACCGACACAGGUGGGCGAGAUGAGUAUUCUAAGGCGCUUGAGAGAACUCGGGAGAAGGAACUCGGCAAAUUGGUACCGUAACUUCGGGAUAAGGUACGCCCUGGUAGCUUGACUGGCCUGCGCCAGAAGGGUGAAGGGGUUGCAAUAAAAUGGUGGCUGCGACUGUUUAAUAAAAACACAGCACUCUGCAAACACGAAAGUGGACGUAUAGGGUGUGACGCCUGCCCGGUGCCGGAAGAUUAAAUGAUGGGGUGCAAGCUCUUGAUUGAAGUCCCGGUAAACGGCGGCCGUAACUAUAACGGUCCUAAGGUAGCGAAAUUCCUUGUCGGGUAAGUUCCGACCUGCACGAAUGGCGUAACGAUGGCCACACUGUCUCCUCCCGAGACUCAGCGAAGUUGAAGUGUUUGUGAUGAUGCAAUCUCCCCGCGGCUAGACGGAAAGACCCCAUGAACCUUUACUGUAGCUUUGCAUUGGACUUUGAACCGAUCUGUGUAGGAUAGGUGGGAGGCUUUGAAGCGUGGACGCUAGUUCACGUGGAGCCGUCCUUGAAAUACCACCCUGGUUUGUUUGAGGUUCUAACCUUGGCCCGUGAAUCCGGGUCGGGGACAGUGCAUGGUAGGCAGUUUGACUGGGGCGGUCUCCUCCCAAAGUGUAACGGAGGAGUUCGAAGGUACGCUUGGUACGGUCGGACAUCGUACCUAAAGUGCAAUGGCAAAAGCGUGCUUAACUGCGAGACCGACAAGUCGAGCAGGUGCGAAAGCAGGACAUAGUGAUCCGGUGGUUCUGAAUGGAAGGGCCAUCGCUCAACGGAUAAAAGGUACUCUGGGGAUAACAGGCUGAUACCGCCCAAGAGUUCAUAUCGACGGCGGUGUUUGGCACCUCGAUGUCGGCUCAUCUCAUCCUGGGGCUGUAGCCGGUCCCAAGGGUAUGGCUGUUCGCCAUUUAAAGAGGUACGUGAGCUGGGUUUAAAACGUCGUGAGACAGUUUGGUCCCUAUCUGCCGUGGGCGUUGGAAUCUUGACGGGGGCUGCUCCUAGUACGAGAGGACCGGAGUGGACGUACCGCUGGUGUACCUGUUGUCUCGCCAGAGGCAUCGCAGGGUAGCUAUGUACGGAAGAGAUAACCGCUGAAAGCAUCUAAGCGGGAAACUCGCCUGAAGAUGAGGAUUCCCUGGAGGCUUGACCUCCUUGAAGGGUCGUUCGAGACCAGGACGUUGAUAGGCUGGGUGUGGAAGCGCAGUAAUGCGUUAAGCUAACCAGUACUAAUUGCCCGUAAGGCUUGAUCCUA
rnacentral:rRNA from 1 species